UGCCAGCCGCCGCGGUAAUACGGAGGGCGCAAGCGUUGUUCGGAAUUAUUGGGCGUAAAGCGCGUGUAGGUGGUUUGGAAAGUUGGAUGUGAAAGCCCGGGGCCCAACCCCGGAAUUGCAUUCAAAACUAUCAAGCUAGAGUCCCGGAGGGGAAGGCGGAAUUCCCGGUGUAGAGGUGAAAUUCGUAGAUAUCGGGAGGAACACCAGUGGCGAAGGCGGCCUUCUGGACGGUGACUGACACUGAGACGCGAAAGCGUGGGGAGCAAACAGGAUUAGAUAC
rnacentral:rRNA from 1 species